rnacentral:rRNA from 1 species
UACGUAGGGCGCAAGCGUUGUCAGGAAUUAUUGGGCGUAAAGAGCUCGUAGGCGGUUUGUCGCGUCUGCUGUGAAAACCUAAGGCUCAACCUUGGGCUUGCAGUGGGUACGGGCAGACUAGAGUGCGGUAGGGGUGACUGGAAUUCCUGGUGUAGCGGUGGAAUGCGCAGAUAUCAGGAGGAACACCGAUGGCGAAGGCAGGUCACUGGGCCGCAACUGACGCUGAGGAGCGAAAGCAUGGGGAGCGAACAGG